rnacentral:rRNA from 1 species
UUAUAACAGCUAUAAUUUACUUGAUCUUGACACAAUCCUACUUGGAUAACUGUGGUAAUUCUAGAGCUAAUACAUGCAUUAAAGCUCUGACCUCACGGGAAGAGUGCAUUUAUUAGAACAAAACCAAGCGGCUUCGGCUGUUUCUGGUUGACUCAUAGUAACUGAGCUGAUCGCAUGGUCUUGCACCGGCGACGUGUCUUUCAAGUAUCUGCCGUAUCAACUUUCGAUGGUAGUGUAUCUGACUACCAUGGUGAUCACGCGUAACGGAGAAUAAGGGUUCGGCUCCGGAGAGUUCGCCUGAGAAAUCGCGAACACAUCUAAGGAAGGCAGCAGGCGCGAAAAUUACCCACUCUCAGCACGAGGAGGUAGUGACGAAAAAUAACGAGACCGUUCUCUUAUGAGGCCGGUCAUCGGAAUGGGUACAAUUUAAACCCUUUAACGAGUAUCUAUGAGAGGGCAAGUCUGGUGCCAGCAGCCGCGGUAAUUCCAGCUCUCAAAGUGCAUAGAAUUAUUGCUGCGGUUAAAAAGCUCGUAGUUGGAUCUGUGCCAUAGGACGUGGUCCACCUUCGGGUGCGUACUACGCUCCUAGGCUUUUUGCUGGUUUUCCCGUCGUAGCCUUCACUGGUUGCGGCGGGUGGCUGGCGAGUUUACUUUGAGAAAAUCAGAGUGCUCAAUACAGGCGUAUCGCUUGAAUGAUUGUGCAUGGAAUAAUAGAAAAGGAUUUCGGUCCUCUUUUAUUGGUUUUGUGGACUGAGAUAAUGGUUAACAGGGACAAACGGGGGCAUUCGUAUCUCUGCGUGAGAGGUGAAAUUCUUGGACCGUAGAGAGACGCCCUACUGCGAAAGCAUUUGCCAGAUGUCUU